CUUUCUUUUUGUUAAUUUUUAAAUAUUUUUGAACUCACACCUCCUUUAUUUAAUGAAACAGGCCACAAUCUAUUUUCAGAGAUCCGUUUAAGAGGGGCAAUACCAUCCUUGUGACUGCAAUUUUGUUCCCUUAUAUCUUUCCACUUGAUAUAGCGUGAAGUCAUUCUCUCCGAUGUUGAUGUUUAUUGGAUUGGUCAUAUGUGAAGCUUAAACUCCAGAAGUUGUUGCUGAAGGGCUAUGGAAUGACCUUGAGCAAGAAAGAUCUAGCUGCAGAACGAUGUUAAAUGGCCCAUUGGUUGGUCUCUUGGUGGUUAUCCUGGUCCUCGGGGACCAUACUACUGUGGUGUUGGUGUUGACGAGGCCUUCGGCAUUGUUGAUGCACAGUAGACGGCAUGCCGGCAUGAACAUUAGUGGUACGAACGGAGAAGUGAUGUCGGGCGAGUGGAAAUUUCAAGCUGGCCCUUCAUUCGGUAUCUCUGUUGGAGAUGAAUUACGGGCUGCAGCUCGUUACAUACUGGAGGUACUUGAAUACAGAAGAUGGUAGAACUAUUCCAAUUUCUAUUGUUUUCUGAAAUGUCUAUAUUUAUGUUAACACAGGAUUACUGAGGUUGCUGGAGUUGUGCAUUCAUUC